AGUGAACGCUGGCGGCGUGCUUCACACAUGCAAGUCGAACGAGAACGGAAUAUAGCUUGCUAUAUUUGUCAGCUAAGUGGCGCACGGGUGAGUAAUGUAUAGAUAACCUGCCCUUAAGAAAGGAAUAACAGUUUGAAACGACUGCUAAUGCCCUAUAUUCCUCUAAUACAUAAGUAUGCAAGGGAAACGCUUUAGUGCUUAAGGAUGGGUCUGUAUGGUAUCAGCUUGUUGGUGAGGUAAUGGCUCACCAAGGCUAUGACGCCUAACUGGUUUGAGAGGAUGAUCAGUCACACUGGAACUGAGACACGGUCCAGACUCCUACGGGAGGCAGCAGUGGGGAAUAUUGCACAAUGGACGAAAGUCUGAUGCAGCAACGCCGCGUGGAGGAUGACACAUUUCGGUGCGUAAACUCCUUUUAUAUAGGAAGAUAAUGACGGUACUAUAUGAAUAAGCACCGGCUAACUCCGUGCCAGCAGCCGCCGUAA
rnacentral:rRNA from 1 species